AACGGUCUAUACCUGCGGUACCUGCGGAAGGAUCAUUACCGAGUUAUCAACUCCCAAACCCCUGUGAACGUACCCGAACGUUGCCUCGGCGGGACCGCCCCGGCGCCCCUAGCGGCCCGGAACCAGGCGCCCGCCGGAGGACCCAAACUCUUGCUUUAAACAGUGGCAUACUCUCUGAGUCUCACAAACAAAAAAUAAAUCAAAACUUUUAGCAAUGGAUCUCUAGAUCGGAAGAGCACA
rnacentral:misc_RNA from 1 species